rnacentral:tRNA from 16 species
GGGUUGCUAACUCAACGGUAGAGUACUCGGCUUUUAAUUCGAAUCCCGGGCAACCCAUUGUCAUACCGAAAU